rnacentral:tRNA from 1 species
GGGCGCGUAGCUCAGGGGUAGAGCACUGUGUUCACACCGCAGGGGUCAGAGGUUCAAAUCCUCUCGCGCCCACCA